GUGUGGGCAGUGCAUAGAACUGGAUGUGGAAGAGUUAAAGCGAGGCCAGUUCCAGCUCUGAUGCUUUGCCUCAGGGAGCCUUUAAAGAGAGAAACUGCUGGGACCCAUCUGAUCCCAGACAAUUGUGGUUCCAAAGCUGUAUGGACAGUGUGCUUGAGUGAGGGCUCCUCCAAUUUCUUGCCUACCAUGCAAACAAACUGGGAGCACCAGAGGAGAUGGAGGCAGGGCAAGCAGGCUGUAUAAGGAACCUGGAUCCUGGCUUUUUGGUGUAGAAAGGGAACCCUCUGAAUUGUCCUCAUCUUGGACCAAAGAUGCCUGUGCUACAGGAGCAUGGGAAGGAAGUAAAGCCCCGGGAGGAGGCCAUACUGAGCACCCUUGCCCGGUGAGCAGCA
ensembl:antisense Gm17234 predicted gene 17234